rnacentral:rRNA from 1 species
AUGGAGGAGGAGAAGGCCAGGGGGUUGUCCUCGGCGGCCUCGUCGCUUAUCCCGCCGACAUCCCCGGAGAUCGACCUCGAGGCCGGUGCCGGGGACCAGCUCCAGUGCCGGAUCUGCCUCGAGACCGACGGGAGAGACUUCAUCGCGCCCUGCAAGUGCAAGGGGACAUCCAAGUACGUGCACCGCGACUGCCUCGACCACUGGAGAGCGGUCAAGGAGGGGUUUGCAUUUUCUCAUUGCACCACCUGCAAGGCUCCUUAUUACUUGAGGGUUCAUGUCCACACCGACAGGAAAUGGCGAACGCUAAAGUUUCGUUUCUUUGUUACUAGAGAUAUAUUAUUCAUCUUUGCUCUAGUCCAGUUUGUUAUCUCUGCAUUGGCUUAUUUGGUACAUUUUAUUGAUGGCUACCAGCAAUAUUGGCUGAGGACGGCCUGGGGUUUUGAUAAUGAAGUUACUUUUUAUUAUAUAUGUGGAGCUUUGUUGUUUUUUGCUUUACUCGGGUUAUCAGGAUGCUUCAUAACGUGUUAUGACCGAAGAGUACGGAGUGACUUGGCUCAGCCUUGUCGAGAACUGUGCCUCUGUUGCUGCCAGCCAGGGAUGUGUGCAGAUUGCCAUCUUCCUGGCACACUUUGCAUGUGGACUGACUGCACCACAUGCUUUGAAGGCUGUGCAACUACAGCCGGGGAGUGUGGUGGUUGCUUGGGAGGUGCAGGGGAAGCAGGGUUACCAUUGUUCCUCAUCAUGGGAGUAAUCGUGCUCGGGCUGUUCACGGUUGUCGGCAUCUUCUAUAGCGUUCUGGUGGCAACUAUGGUAGGGCAGAGGAUCUGGCAAAGACACUACCACAUCCUUGCGAAACGAAUGCUAACAAAGGAGUACGUUGUGGAAGAUGUUGACGGUGAACAUGCAGAUUGGUCUCCGCCGCCACUCCCUGCUGAGCACGUCCAGCAGCUCAAAUCCCUGGGACUCCUAUAG